UAGGGAAUCUUCGGCAAUGGGGGGAACCCUGACCGAGCAACGCCGCGUGAGUGAAGAAGGUUUUCGGAUCGUAAAGCUCUGUUGUUAAGGAAGAACAAGUGUGAGAAUGGAAAGUUCAUGCUGUGACGGUACUUAACCAGAAAGGGACGGCUAACUACGUGCCAGCAGCCGCGGUAAUACGUAGGUCCCGAGCGUUGUCCGGAUUUAUUGGGCGUAAAGCGAGCGCAGGCGGUUAGAAAAGUCUGAAGUGAAAGGCAGUGGCUCAACCAUUGUAGGCUUUGGAAACUGUUUAACUUGAGUGCAGAAGGGGAGAGUGGAAUUCCAUGUGUAGCGGUGAAAUGCGUAGAUAUAUGGAGGAACACCGGUGGCGAAAGCGGCUCUCUGGUCUGUAACUGACGCGGAGGCUCGAAAGCGUGGGGAGCGAACAGG
rnacentral:rRNA from 1 species